UACGUAGGGUGCAAGCGUUAAUCGGAAUUACUGGGCGUAAAGCGUGCGCAGGCGGUUAUGUGAGACAGAUGUGGAAUGCCCGGGCUUAACCUGGGAACUGCAUUUGUGACUGCAUGGCUAGAGUUUGGCAGAGGGGGGUAGAAUUCCACGUGUAGCAGUGAAAUGCGUAGAUAUGUGGAGGAACACCGAUGGCGAAGGCAGCCCCCUGGGUCAAGACUGACGCUCAUGCACGAAAGCGUGGGGAGCAAACAGG
rnacentral:rRNA from 1 species